CGCGUCAGUGUGUAGGAGCCGCGGCCGCAUGAAUGAGCCGCCGCACGAGUACUACGCGUGCCUAUAAAAGCCGCCGCGCCAGCCGGGCUGCGGGAGGCGAGCGGGCGCGGGCGCAACACAGCUGACAGGUAAGCGGGACCGACCGACCAAUGGGCGACAGAUGGACGAUGCACGGACAUGGACUGGAAGGCAAGGAGGAGACCGACAGGAGGCAGGUUAGAGGGGCCCCAAAGGGGUGGGGUUGGGGACAGGGUGGAAGGGACGAGGGUCCCCUCGCAGCUGCUGGAGCUGGAGCCAGAGGCGUACGCAGAACCCCGAGCAGCACCUGCCUGCGCCCGGAUGGAGACGCAACCACUUCGGAGGAGCAUCGAUCAGAGGACCGACCAGAGUCCCUACGGCUUUUCCUGGGGCUCCUGCGCCAUCCUCCCAAGAAAGUGGGACGAAGGUGCUGGCGCCCCAGGAGACGCGCCCCUUCCUCUCCUCCCCGCAGAGCGGUGACUCAGCCUCGCUGCCCCCGGUCUGCUGAGCUGGGGCGCCGGCGAGAGACAGACGCCCACCUACCCGCCCCCGUGCCGCAGCUUCCUCAGGAUCCCUCCCCUCAUUCAGCCGGGGCGCCCCCUCCCCGUCCCGUCGAGCUGGUCCCUCCGCGCCCCCAACUUCCCGCCUCUGUAUGAGGAGCUGUCCUCUCAGGACCAGGCGGGGGCGGGGCCUCGGCCUGACUGCCCCGCCCCGCCCCCAUCACCCGCCCCUCCCCCCCCCGCAGCCGGAAGUGCCUCUCCGCAGGGACAUCUUUGACGUCACAGGGUUUUGACGUCAAGGGCCGCGUGCCUGUCCGCAAGCGCCGGGGCCGAGAAGGGUUGGAGACGCGGGGCAGAAAGAGCAGCAGCGCCCCCAGCUGUGGGCGACGGAGCCACCCUGCCCGGGCAGCGCGCCGGCACCUUGGCUCUAGACUGCUUACUGCCCGGGCCGCCCUCAGUAACAGUCUCCAGUCACGGCCACCGACGCCUGGCCCCGCCUCAGGACCGCGGACCCGGCCACCUGCCGCGCCCCCGGCCCCUCGGUCCCCGAAGAUCCCUCAGCCCCGCGAUCGCUGCCCGCGCCGCCGCUGUCCGCGGUGCUGAUCCAGCGAGGGCACCGCCAUUGGGCCGUCCCGUCCCCAGUCCCCAGGGGCUACUGAGGGGCUGCCGGCUCACACGCACUUCGCAGAGCCAAGAGCCCAGAGCCCCGUCCCUGCAGCGAGCGCCGCCCUCCGCCCGCACCGCCGCCGUCCCCCACUGUCCCCCCACCCCGCGGUCCUGACGUCAGCCCAACCCGAGCUGCCGUGGUGCCGUCAGCAGCGCGCGCCCCGCCCCCGCGUCUCCAGGGCAACCGUGGCUUUCGAUUGUUACUGUGGGAACCGGAGGUAACAGUCUACAGCCAUGGUCGCCCCGCAGCACGCCCACGCGCCGCGCCACGCAGCGCACCGCCCGGCGGGAUGGGGGAGACUCAGAUCAGGAGGAAGCGGAGGCGGCGUGUCGAGAGCCCAUGUGUCUGCGGGGGUGGCGGGAGGUGCCGCAUAGGGAGGCGGGCUACUCCGGAGCCGGGCAUCCAACGAGGCAGAGAAGGAAGCGGAGUAUGCUCUACGGAGUAUGUCUGACUGUCCCCUUCAGUGACCAUCCUGUCCUCCUAGCCGAGGUACUGCAGCCAAGGGACCGUGAGAGAAUGGGGAGUUCUGGGAUUUGGGUUCUUUAUACCUCCUUGGAGGGAGGGAGGGAGGCCGCAGGCACCUGGACAACCGAACCGGGGGUUCCUGGGAACCGAAGGGGGUUGACGGAGGAAAGGUUUUCUAAAUGCGCCACGACCUCAUUCUUCCAGGAACCCCUAGCUGAGUAGGCAGAGGGCAAAGGGUAAACCUUGAACCCAUUGCCUGAUGGAGUCCCGGCCUUCCCUCCCUCUCUCUUUCCCUCCGAAUCUUGAAGGAUAAGAAGGAUCCCCGACCCUCAGGAAGCGUAAAGCUUGUAAAGUUAACCCGUCCCUAAACGGCUUUGUGAACAUACCUGCAUCCUCACCUCACUCUAUCUCUAGGUGCUGGAUUCCAAUUUUAGACUGUCUCAAAUUAGCCAUAAAGAGGGGGAGUAAAUACCAGAGGAGCUCAAGUCCUCUUGGGCUAGUGAAGUGUAAGCAAUGACCUCUUCAAAAACAUUCUGCCUGUCACUUGCCGCCACCACCAUCACCCACUUCAGGGCUGAUUGUUGGAUACUGGGUGCAGGACCACCGAGGGACAGUGUUGGGAAUGAUUAAUGCAACCCAGCCCUGCCACCAUUGAUGCAAUUUUUCUUGACCUCUCCAUUUCCCCUUUUCUAAACUGUUUCUAACACAGUUGGUGCUGGUUUCACAGCUAAUCAACACCCACACUGCCUGUCUCCCACCCAAGGACACUGAGGGCUUAGAUGAAAAGGCACCUGAUUCUGGCAUCCAUUGCACAUCGGUGGGCAGACUGUGUGCACCUGCCAAGAGCACAUGGAGGCAGGAGGCCCCACCUGGCGUCACCAACUGGCUGUUGAAAACUGCAGAACGCUAUUUUGAUCUUAAAUAUUCUCUUAGGCUACUAUGUGGAGAAGGCGACGGCACCCCACUCCAGCACUCUUGCCUGGAAAAUCCCAUGGAUGGAGGAGGCUGGAGGAGCCUGGUCUAGCACCAUCCCAUCCUUCACUCACGGUUCAGAGAAGCUGACAGCUACGGCGGAGAAAACAAAUACAUGAACCUGGUUCUGACAGGCCCACACACAACUCUUAUGGAUCAGGAUCAAAGGAGCUAAAACUCAGUAAGGCCCAGGCACAGCUUUGCCAACUGGUCUCUUCCCUAAACUUCUCAGAUGUAAAUUCUUCCCUCCUCCAGGGAGGAGUCCUUUCCUUCAGCUUGGGACUUAAGACUUUCACCAAAAAUGUGUCCAUGUGCACAUAUGCAUGAGUUUGUCCUAGGGGUUCGCAACUGCAAACACCUCGCUGCUUGGUGCUGCCCUGGAAGCUGUGUUGAUGGCCAGGAAUCCACUUUUUAAAAAAAGAUAAAAUGAGUUUUCUGUGUAUCUUUUCCAGGAAAAAGAUGCUUAAAAUCCAAAUCACUUUAUUGUGUGGCAGUUAGCGCUGGCAAAGUCUCAGCUUUUCCUGUCACCCCCUACUCAUUCAGGAUGCCAAGGUCAAAGUCCAUUGAGGCCUCCUAAUCCUCCCCCCUUUUUUUCUUUGAGUGCAGAGCUGGGCUUAUAUAAUUUGAGUCUUAAGUACUGAUAUUUGUCUCUUAAUUGGAGAUGGUGAGGUGCCCUAAUAGUAGGGGAGAUUUCUAGGUAGAAAAAGAAACGCAGGAAUUACAGAAGCUGCAUCAAGGUCAUUGGGGUGGGGGGAGUGGAAAGGGGAUGCAAAGGCAAAGGCCUUUGUAGAGCUUUCAGUUUGCAAAAUGGUCCAAGAACCUGAGGUAGGCCUGGCGCUGGGGUGCAGCUGCUGGAAUGAAGUGGCCACCAGAGUGGGUAAGAGUGACGGCUCCAUCGAAUCGGCUACACAGCUGCAUACUCUCCUGAGAGGGGAUAACGCCGUCAGUGUCCCCAAAGACAUGGAGGGAAGGCAGUGACAAGGGGCCCUGCAUGAUGGGUUCCAUGAGGCCAAGGCCCCGCGGGCAGAAACCAGAUACGAGGAUGACAAACCGGGGCAAAGGGAAGCGGGGAUCGCCGCCUUGGCCAAGGGCACACACAAGGGCGGCCAGCGCGGCCCCCUGGCUGAAACCAAGGAUCCCAUCGAAAGGCCCCAGCUUGUUCAGUGCCUGUGCCACCGUUCCCAGAGCUUCCUCCAGACCUCUGCACGCCGUGGGCUCUUCCAAGGCCAAGAAAACGUCUGCCUCCUGUUCGGAAAACCACCAGCCUCGAGGCUGCUCUUCCGGAGGGCAGGGUCCUACGGCGACGAAGGAGAGAGUACAGAGUUAAGGCAAGGGGAAAUCCAGGGGAAAAGAAAUAAAGGGAGUGAGGGAGGGUUUGGGAAUGAGGGAAAGAGAGGUGGUUAAGGCAGAGUAGCAAGUCUGGGGAAAAUGAGGCGGGGAACACACUGACCUGGAGAGGAGAUGGAUAGAAGUCUGGGAGGGCCAGGCAGGAAUAUAAGCAAGGGGCUAGGUUGGCAGAGAUGGCGUGGUGUAUGGGCAGAAUGAAGUGGGAGGAUGGCAGGAAUGUGGGGAGGGACAGGGUGGCUGUGUGCAGGCAGGUGUUACGCGGACGAGGCAAGACAGAAAACUCUGGGCGCAUUUCCGGGCAGGGCUCCUCUCACCGGAGUCUGGCCUGGCGCCCUCCGACCCCGCUGCGUCCACGACCGGGUGCGGGCCGCUGAGGCACACGAGCUCUGCGCGGCCCCGCAGCGCCUUCCGCAGCGCUCCGGUCUUUUCACGGAAGCCCCGCUCGCUCUGCCGAAAACCCGCCAGACACAAAAUCCGCAGAAGCGGCUGCGCAGCCAUCCUGCAUAGCGCGUGCGCGCCAGAGGAACCGGAAGCAGCCUUUCCCCGAGCGGAACUUGAAGACGAAGGGCGGGACCCAAUACAGCCACAACCCUGGAGGCGGGCCUCAGAGCAAGCGAACAUUGCCAUGACAACGGGGAAGAGGGUGCGGCAGGUCCACAAGUAGGGCUGAUACCUGGGAACCAGGAGCGUCUCAGGGAGCGAUCGGCGACACCUCCUCGUCUCUGCAGCUGCAAGCCUCGCAAGCCGCGGCUGGAGAGGGGCGCGCGGGCCCUCCCUGAACCUGGGGUGGCAGACUUUGGUCACGGUCCCGCUUCUGCGACGUUCCCCACCCCGCUGUCGUGCAUUUCCCUUAGCGGCCGCAGGGCGGCGGCCUCGGCUCGCGCCGCCUGGGCGGCCGCGCCCAGGCCCCUCGGUCUUCUUGGUGUCCCUUCCUACCUUCCCCAGAGCCAGCCGGCCUGGGACCUGGAGCAGCCGAUCCCGCCCGUGGUUCACCGUCCACGGCCCCAAGGAGCUGCUGGCGUAGAAGUCCAUAGGGUAGGGCUGCUGCCAGGAAAUGUCCCUCAAGGCCACCGCCGCCUGGGGGAGAAAAUCUGGACAGUAACAUUUGCGGACAUUUUUCUACGCAGGAUUAUUUAAUUCAGUCCUCACGAUGACCUACGAAGGUCCUAUUAUACCCAUAGCAUAGAAAGGAAAUGUGAGGUUCAGAGAGCAGGAAGGGACUUGCGCAAGGCCACACAGCUAGGAAGUGCCUCCGCUGUAACCUAAGUGCUGCUCCACUGAGGACCCCUUCCAGGACAGAACUAAGGGUAAAGCCCAUUCUCCCCCAGGGAUUUUCAGAACCUAGUGUUACCUCAUAGGGCGUGAGCAGCGGCUUGGGGAAGGCUGUACCCCAGUCAAUGGACAGGCGUGGACAUGCCACCUGCACCCACCUAUAAGAAGGGAAAUCAGGUCAGAUCCUGGGGGAGGGGGUAGCCUCCCUGUUCCUGCCAGCAUGCUGAAGAACAUGACUGUGUCCCCAACACACUCAACGGGGCUUACUAUUAAUUUGAAAGUAAAGACUGUCGCCCACUGCUGUUUAGAAUAGCACUAUGGCAUUGUUUUC